AACUCCCCUGCCCCCCACCCCCUAGAGGAAGCGGGCCCAGCACGCUUUGGGGAAAGGGAGGGUCAGCGGCGUGUCCCAGGCGAGCCCUGCGAGCCUGCCAAUAGGCUGGUGCUGCCCCGGGUCAGCUCACUUGGGGCCCACGACAGCCCCGUGACUUCUAAGUACUGUCAGCGUCCUCAGGGUACAGAUGAGGAAACUGAGGCACGGAGAAGCUGAAGUGGCAGAGGAGGCCAACUCUCCAGGAGACUCGGACCCAGGCACCGGCACUGGUGACAAAGCUGCGGUGUCCUCUCUCACGUGGGAAAGGAGGGAGGCGGCUUCUUCAGCUCUUUCCUUUUACUACCUGACCCUGCCACUUCCAGGAACAGCAGUGGAACAUCAAAGCCCACAGGGCUGGGGAAUAAUUUGCAACAAGGCAACCCAGCUAGUGAUCUGGGGUCAAAACUUCAUACACAACAUCACCAUCAAAGAAGGCGGUGAGUCACAGCUGGGCCAGCGCUGGUAAACAAUGGCUCUGACAGGCCCCACCCUGAACCCAAGACAGUCUGAACUCCUUCCCUGCAGGUCCUGCGGGGAGGUUUUGAAUUUAGAAACACCCUAGGGAAGGAGGAUCUGGAAGCAGAACUGCAGACUGGGCCGUCCAGGCAGUGCUUUGUGGGUGCGUCUGCACUGCGGGCAUGGCCCCGCCCAAAAGGGAGCAGAAAGGCCAGUCCUCCCGCAGGUCACGGUGAUGCGCCGUGGGUUUCAUUUCCCCUCGUGACGACGCUGCAUGAUGCUGGACGGGCUGACAGGCCCUGUGGAGCCCCAGAGGAGACUAAAUCGAGGUCAUGCCAGCUGGGCGUGGUGCCUGCCUGCCUCCCGGGCAAGGGACAGCGGGCUCUGAGCCAGGGCUGUGUUAAGGGCUUUCCCUCACCUGUUCCUCAAACCAUCCCUUGAGGUAAGUAUCAUUACACUUAUCUCACAGAAGAGGAAACCAAGGCUCAGAGAGGUUUCGUACUUUAUCCAAAGUCACACAGUCACAGGAGAGGCUGGAAUUCAAACUCAGAUGGUCAGACACCCAGACCCGUGCACUUACGCACAACACCACACUGCCUCCACCCAGGCCACUCGAGGCCACUGGGGCGGCAGCUCUGGAAACUGGAAGCUGCUAGACUGCCUGACAAGUGGGAAAUGGGGGAAGGGACCAGAGGCUGCUCAGGCCUGUUCUGUCAUGUUCUUUAAUGCAGAAACCCUCCUGGCCUCUAGCCGCAGCUAAUCAGAAGUUUUCAAACAGAUUCUAGACUCGCCAUGCACUUCCUCAGACACUCACACGCCACAACUUGGUCAAAGUGAGCAGGAGUCUGGGACCACUUCCUGCCCAGGCCUGCAUCAGGCACUCCUGGGAGACCUGCUGCUUCCCCUCUGAGCACACCCCACCCAUGCAGGUGCAUCCCUAACUGCUCAGGGAGUGGGUGCUGGGGCUUGGGGUGCCUCACAGGAAAUGGGAACCCUGCAGGUGGGCCCUAUGCCCGUUUUUGUCCCUAUGUCAACCAGGGGCAGCACGGCCCCUGCAGCGGCUACUCCAGGGCACAGACCCAGGCUCCUGGUGCCUGGCCUGCAACUCCUGACCAGGGCAGUUGCUGGGGGUGCCCACCUGCUUGCAGAACCGCAGAAAUCCGAUGGAGUAAGUCUUUCCCCAGAGGCAGCACGUGCCAUACAUGCAGCUGGACCUGGAAGAGGCGAGCAGAGAAGGGGCUGGUGAGCAAAGAGCCGGACUCAGGAAGGCAGGGCUGCGGGAGGCCGCCCUCACCCUCCUGCAGAUCCAGACAAGCUGGGGUAGGGCGGGGUAGGGUGAGGAUGGGGCUUGGAUCCUGGGCAGUCUUUGAGCACAAGGCCAAGCACAGGGAGAGAAGCAGGAGAGUGUUUGCAUAUGCAGUAGGGUAUAUGCAGGAGCAGGGAGACACCGACCUUGGGGUAACAAACCAACUUAAAAGGCACUGAACGUAAAAACUACAAGAGGGAGAAACAGGCAAACAGGAAAGGACAGGAAGAGAGAGAAGGAGAAAGAGCCAGACAGGCCCUCCCAAGAGUUCCAAUGAAUGGCCUCGCUCAGGAAGUGUGGGAGAGGCAGAGGUCAAGGUCACGGGCAGGGAUGUUCUGUGUGACCGGCUGACGCCAGGAGAGCUCGGAGAACGUCAGGCCCAGGAAACAGGGUGGUGUGGGGGGGCGCUGGGGGGACUUCAUACUCACUCGAUGGGCUUCCCUCUGAUCUCUGACAUGAUGGAACUUUCCCCCCCAAGGUAUUCAUAGCACAGGCUCAGGAAAUUAUAGAUGACCAAGGCUGUGAAAACAAUGUCCAGAGAAAAAGCACUCAAAUCAACAGGAUGGAUAAACAGAUGGUGGAAUUCUAAACAGCAACGAAAGUGAAAGAACCACAGUCACAGGCAGCAACGGGGAGGGAACCUCAGGGACAUAAGAAUCCGCAGUGAAUAUUCCAUUUGUAAUCAAAGUCAGUCACGGCUAAAUCAUGCUGUUCAGGGAGGCGCACACACACUGCUGGUCACACCACAAAGAAAGGCAAGAAAGUGAUUAGCACCAAAUCCAGGGCCGUGUGGGGAGCUGUGGGAGGGGAGCUCGGGACGGGGUGCUGCGGGCUUGAGGAGCUGGCAGUGUGCGUGGUCUGGGUUUCGGCUUUACAGUUGGUUAUUAGCUUUAUGCACUUUUCUGUUUGUGUGUCACAGAUCACAAUUUUAUGACAAAGCAACAAUAAAACUUUCUCCAGAGGGAUCUCAGGAGAAAUGCUCAGCAAGAAUGAGAUAGAACCCCUUAUGCAUUCAGCAGCGGGUAGCGGCAUCUCAGUGAGCACAGCAUGACAAGCCGUAACAAAACCUAUGAGAGGUGCACAAAAUAUAGUGCAAAUUUCUUAGGAAGCUGGGCCAGCUCAUCCUGAAUCAUGACACAGCUUGACAUCACCCACAGAGAUCCAAAAUUUACAACAGCGACCUAGGGCACAGUAGAAGUACGCUGUAAAUGCCGCAAAUACAGCACUAUGUUGUAACUGGUCUCCUGGUCAGAGGACUUCUGCGGGGUCAGCAAAGGCAGGCUGCUGCCUGCAGGGUGCUAGAAGCACACAGAAGUGCCGGGAGCCAGGGAGCCAGGGCGUGGAGGGGAGGACAAGGUGCACAGCGGAGGACGCCACGGAGGAGAGGAUGCAGGAGGCAGAUCAGGGACCUAGCGCAGGGGAACAGGAGACGUGUCCAGCGCAGGAGUGAGGCCAAGGGGAGGGUCAAGGCGGGGUCAGGGGAUAAUAAGAUCACGGGAGAGGCACCAGCAGCCCUGCAGCCAGCGGGCUCCUUCUUAUCUGACCAGCCAACCCCGGUGCAGCAGAAGGGCCUUCAAGGCCCCCCGGUGCAGCCCCCUAGCUCAGCUCAAGAUCUCUCGCCAGGUGGCUUGGUCCCUGCCCACCCGUCACACUUCCUUCCCAGCAACACUAGGUGCCCCCUUCCCCUCGGCAGGGUCUCCUGCCCUCCGUGUUUCUGCCCUUGCAGAUCCUACGGCCUGGACGCCCUGCCCUCUGACCUGCUGGUACCGUCAACCCAUCAGACACCACCCACCAUGAGAAGUCCUCGGCCACCACCAUGGGGGCUCAUGCGUCCCCACCCACGGAACCUACCGGUUUGCAGACAGACGCUGUGCCCCCGCCCCGCCCACCCCCGGAGUGUGAUUACUGACUGGGAGCCUGCUUCUCCCUCGAGCGUGGGCCCAGCCCUCGGCACAUACUAACCACACCACAAACGCUUGACUGCCUGAAACUGGAACACAGGAAAUCCUGGCCGUACGUUUGGAGGUAGAAGUUGGCCUUCAGCAACGUGGAAAGGAAUAUAUUUGCGGGCUGUACGCCCCUCAGUUGCUCUAACCUAGUAAGGUUGCACGUCUGGGGCUGGGGAACAGGGGCCCAAGUGGCACCCUGCAUAAACAUGACCCACAGCAUCUGUCACCUGUGCUGCAACCGUCCCCCUAGAGACACACAGCAGAGGGUUUGCAGUGUGACUCUGCUGGGAGCCUCUCUGUGGCUCAGUUUCCUCACCUGUUAAAAUGGAGACAGAAAGAGCCCCUGCGGAGUUAGGAGGUGGCAGGAUUUCAGUGAGUAUGCAAAGCGCUCAGGAGAGCGGCCAGCACUCUCAGUGUUGGCUGUCACGGCCACUAUUGUUUAUCUGUCCCCUGACGGGGCUGAGGGCCCUGUGAGCUGCCUGUCCGACACAGAAGCAGCUCGGGAUGCUUGGUGGCUGCAGGAAUCUCCACUGACUGGGCUCCAGAUCACUCUCCACUGACAGAAACUUCGGGGUAUCUGACGGCAGGGGGGUGAGGGGCAGGGGGCAUCACGCCCAAUCUCAUGUCAGGCUGCUAAUAACCUUCGUCCAGAACCAUAUAAGGCCAAGUAGGGUGGAUGUGCCCAUUCCAGUCUGGGUCCAGCUGUCUUGUGGUUGACGGUAUCUUCCAAAGGCAGCCACAUCCCAUGACAACGACACUCCUCUCAGAAGAUGGGGUCUUCUUCCCUCUUUUUGCAUCUGGGUGAACUGGGGUGACCACGGCGGAAGCGAAGCUUGGUGAUGUCUGAUGCUGGGCUUAGAAAAGGCCUCUUUCUUCCGGCUCUUCCUCUCUUGAGACGCUUGCCCUUGGACCCAGCCACCAGGCGGUGAGGAAGCCCAUGCUGGCCCACGUGGAGAGUCCACAUGGAGAGGCUCAUGUGGGGGAGGAAGUGAGGCCCCCAGCUGACAUCAGCGUCAACUGCCAGACACGUAAGUAAACCAGACAUCAGAUGGCCCCUCCCCCAGCCUUCAGGUCUCCAGCUGAGGCCCAGGUACCACGGAGCAGGACCAAACUGUCCCCAGCGUGCCCUGUCCAAAUUCCUGACGUGCAAUAUCCAUGAACACAAUACAUGGCUGUUUUACACUAGUCUGUUUGGGGGUAGUUAUGGACACAGCUACAGUAAGUGGAAUGUACGCAACACCACUUCCGGAGUUCCCAGGACGCGCCGUGAUCUCUCACCUCCCCUCGGCGGCACAUCCCCAUCUCUCUGCUAAACCCCAGGGGCAGACCCAGCUCAGAUGCCACCUUGUCCUUGGCGGCCUUCCCCGUCCUGUCGCCAUGCUCACAUCACACCCCACAAUCUCUCUGCUGAUCUGUCUGAUCCUUCCAGUACAAGAGGCAGCAUAAAGCAGCCAGAAAGCCAUGGAUCCCGGAGCCAGACUGCCUGGGUGUGAAUCAUGGUUCCACCACUUAGGAGCUGUGUGAUCUCAGGCAAGAACCGAGGCCCACCCACAACAACUACCAAAGGGCUUGACACUUCCAUACUCAAUCAACACGAAAGGAACAAACGAAACGAAUGGAUGGACACAGGCCACAGCUCCAGGGAGCUCCUAGAUGUGCGCGAACUAAGAAGAGAGCAGAUGUCAAACGUGGAAAAGAUGGCAUCCAAGGAGCAGGUGAUUCAGGACAGGAGAGGCGACAGGAUUCCCGGGAUGACGGUGAAGGAAAGACCCAGGACCACAGCUGAGCAGAAGGAGGCCUCAAGGGCAAGCAGUGCAGACGGGAGCAAGAAGGGCAGGGCUCCAGGAGCACCACCACCCGGAAACCCUAGAACUAGGAGGCGAGCUGAUGUGUCUGGCGUCACUGACAGGAGGGCUUCUUUUUUCACUUGACUGAAGCAUUUGCGGAAUAAAGUAAUGAUAGAGACACAGAAAACAGAGCAAACCAAAAAGCCAGACAAGUAGUAACCAGAGGAAAAAUGAAGUCAAACGAGGAAACGUCGUCUUGGGACACUGUAAGGCUCAGCUUUGAACAACAUUUACAGACGUGUAAUGAUGUAUACGCUGAACGCAGACUAAGAAAAAUCAUGAUAGGGUCACAUGAAAAAGAUGAAGGAAAGAAAACGUGUGCGUGUGUGUGUGUGUGUGUGUGUGUGUGCGUAGUUGGAGGUAACAUACCUAAAUCAAGACCUUCCACAGCAGGAAGUCACUAUAUAACACUACAUAAAAUUGAAAAAUCAAGAAACAACAGUAUAAUCAUAUUUUUAGGUUAUUCUAGAAAAAGAAACCAGUUUAAAGAGUUUAAAGUAGGAUGACUUUGGGAGUGAGGAGGAGCUGGGGCAGUUCUGUGUUUCAAACAUAUGCAUGUAUUACCUUAA